AAAAAUAUUAUCUUUAGAGAAUGUAAAGUUAUCAACAGUGAACACACUAUGUGAAUGUCAGUAUUUUCAGUACUUUGAUUUUAAGAAUCAAAUUUUGCCAUGAUAUCAUUGUAUAUUCAUAGUUAUUAUCAACCUAUAUUCUGCCUUUAGAUUUGGUCAUGUUUCAUAAUUCAGCAUAAUAUUGGAAGCAGAAUAAGAGCCAGUAUAAAUCAUAGCAUUGUGAUGUUG
rnacentral:sRNA from 1 species